rnacentral:rRNA from 1 species
AGCGAACGCUGGCGGCAGGCCUAACACAUGCAAGUCGAACGAACUCUUGGGAGUUAGUGGCGGACGGGUGAGUAACACGUGGGAACGUGCCUUUUGGUUCGGAAUAACUCAGGGAAACUUGUGCUAAUACCGAAUGUGCCCUUCGGGGAAAGGAUUUAUCGCCAUUAGAGCGGCCCGCGUCUGAUUAGCUAGUUGGUGAG